rnacentral:ncRNA from 1 species
GGAAAUGUUCCAUGUGAGCAUCACUUGGACAUGGGUUAGUCGAUCCUAAGAGAUGGGGAAUCCUUGUAUCAAGGGUGCACUCUGCAUGAACAUCGAAAGAUAAUUGGGUUAAUAUUCCCGAACCGGGACAUGGUGGUGGACGACAAUGUUAGGAAAUAUGGAGAUGUCAUUGGGAUCCUGGGAAGAGUCGUCUUUUCUUUUUAACGACAUCCCCACCCUGAAAUUGGUUCAACUAGAGAUAGGGUCCAACAUCUGGAAGAGAACCACAUGUCUUGCAGUGUUUGGUGCCCCCUCGGCGGCCAUUGAAAAUAUGGAGAACUAAGUACCAUCCAUGCCCGAUCAUAAUCAUAUCUACCUGCUU